AGCUCACAGGAGCAGGGCAAAGCUGUUCUUACUCUUCGGCUGUGGGUUGAGGGGGCCAUUUCCUCUCUUGUAUUCUGACUUUGGGUAGCGCGGAGGACACCGAUUCCAGGCCUCAGGAUUCUUCUGUUAUGUAAGUGAAGCAGACUGUGUGAUGAGAUUCCGAGUGACAGACGCUGUGGAGUGCUGGGGACCACGGCAGGCUGAAGUGGGCCGACAUAAUGGCACGCCAGCACUUUUACCCAGCAGCAAAUGGCAACACAAACGACUGGGAAGUCACUAUGAAUUUCAUCCCAGAGGAAGCUGUGGAUGUGCUUGCUAGAAGAGAUUUGAUGUCUCCCUUCUAUCAAGUUUGGAUCUUCCAUCCUGACUACUAUCCCAUGCAUGUCUGUGCUGCUACAAGAAGACUACACCCUGGGUUAAAGGCAACAUCAUCAUUUGCCUGUACGGGCUGAGUUCUCAUCAGUAAAUAUUUCAUGUACCUGAUUACUCCAGAGGGAGCAACAACGUGAAAACCUAAUCUUGGAGAUGGCUACAGGGUCAGAAGAUCCAGCCUGUUCAUCUCUGUCUCUGUACAUUUUCAAGCCUAGAACACAUUUUACGGAAUCUGACUGAGCCACCACCCUGAUAGUUUUGCCCAUGACGUGAGUCAGGUGCUCCACCAACCCGUCAGACUAGGAGUGGUCUGUGUCUUUCAUUGGACCUUGAAGGCAGACACUUUCCCACCAGUGUCUCUGCUUACACUAAGCCCUUCUGGAGCAGCCAACAGAAUAGUAUUUGCUGGCAGUCUCUUGCAGCCUUCCCUAUAGCUCUCUCUGUGACUUCGUUUCUGGUCGUUUGCAUUUUGCAUGUAAGCUAUUAUCAUUAACAUUUAUUACUGACCAAAGGCCACCAACUUGGAGAUGCUGUUAUUGCCCUGGUCCCCUGUGGUUCAUAGUGAGCCACAGAUCAGCAGCUCCUGCAUCAUUCAGCAGCUUGUUAGAAAGGUUGUAUUCAGGCCAAGACCCACUGGAUCAGAAUGCGCUUGUUAGCAAGAAAGCCUAGAUUGCGUCUACAUACAUGUGUAUCGAGGCACUGCCAUCUAGUCUGGCAUGUCCCCACUCCUUGAAAGGCCCCUCCUGACCUCUAUGCUCUAUUCCAAAGAACAGUGACUCCUAGUGUCUUCCAUGUGGUGAACAUUUUCCUACAACUCAAACCCAGGCAUGCGGCCAAACCAAAUGUGAAUUCACUUAGUGGGAAUCAUGGGACAGAAUAUUGGACAUUGAGUUUUGUCGUUACUAUAUUUAACUCCUAUUUCAUAACCAUUUUGCUCUCUCUGAGAAGGGUGGAGAAUUAUUUUAAAAUGGUUCAUCGCUCCAUCCAAUUUUAUCUUAGUUACAGGGGCUACCUCGUUGUGAUUUAAAAAAAUGUUUCUGCUAGAACAUUUCUUUUCCUU